rnacentral:rRNA from 1 species
CCUACGGGAGGCAGCAGUGGGGAAUAUUGCACAAUGGGGGAAACCCUGAUGCAGCGACGCCGCAUGAGCGAGGAAGUGUUUCGGUAUGUAAAGCUCUGUCAGCAGGGAAGAAGAAUGACGGGACCGGAAGAAGAAGCACCGGCUAAAUCCGUGCCAGCAGCCGCGGUAAGACGUAUGGUGCAAGCGUGAUCCGGAUUUACUGGGUGUAAAGGGAGCGCAGGCGGUUCUGCACGGCUGAGGUGAAAGCCCGGGGCUCAACCGCGGGACUGCCUUGGAAACUGCGGGACUGGAGUGUCGGAGGGGUAAGCGGCAUUCCUGGUGUAGCGGUGACAUGCGUCGAUAUCAGGAG